rnacentral:rRNA from 1 species
AUUGAACGCUGGCGGCAUGCCUUACACAUGCAAGUCGAACGGUAACAGGUCUUCGGAUGCUGACGAGUGGCGAACGGGUGAGUAAUACAUCGGAACGUGCCUAGUAGUGGGGGAUAACUACUCGAAAGAGUGGCUAAUACCGCAUGAGAUCUACGGAUGAAAGCAGGGGAUCGCAAGACCUUGUGCUACUAGAGCGGCCGAUGGCAGAUUAGGUAGUUGGUGGGAUAAAAGCUUACCAAGCCGACGAUCUGUAGCUGGUCUGAGAGGACGAUCAGCAACACUGGGACUGGGACACGGCCCCGACUCCUACGGGAGGCAGCGGUGGGGAAUUUUGGACAAUGGGCGCAAGCCUGAUCCAGCAAUGCCGCGUGCAGGAUGAAGGCCUUCGGGUUGUAAACUGCUUUUGUACGGAACGAAAAGCCCUGGGUUAAUACCCUGGGGUCAUGACGGUACCGUAAGAAUAAGCACCGGCUAACUACGUGCCAGCCGCCGCCGUAA